rnacentral:tRNA from 1 species
GGGGCGAUAGCUCAGCUGGGAGAGCACCUGCUUUGCAAGCAGGGGGUCGUCGGUUCGAUCCCGUCUGCCUCCACCA